GGCCGCCACGCGUGGCUCGGGGCGCGCUGCUCGCCCUUUGUCCCCGGGGAGCCCCGGCGCUGUCCUGCAGCGGGGAGGAGGAAGGCGAGCCGCAGCAGCCCCGGCUGGAUGCCUGGGAGUCGUGUUUCUGCGCCAUUGUGCAGCGCGAAUGCCACACUGAGUGCUUUAUCUGCCCGCACAGCCCCUCUGAAGUCAGGCCGUGUUCCCCCCCAGGCUCAGAUCUGAGGAGCAAAACCUGCUCCCGGCUCCUCUGGCUGCCCUUUCUCAAGGGCAGAUGGCGUUUCUAGGUGCUCAAUAUCCCAGAUUCCCAAAGCAUUCUCAGUUCUGACCUAGUUUCCUCCUCGUAAAGCAGCUACAGAGAGGAUCUGGGGUCAGCAAGUAAUACAACGUUGUGUUCAAGCAACCCGAAUCGAGGUUUAAGGAGUGGAAACUUAGCCUGACAUCCAGGACAGUAGAGAACACCGGCAGCUUAUACAAGAAUAUACAUCUGUAAAAUAACAGCAUUUACAAAAUACUGGUCAUGUAACAUAACUACCAUGACACAAUUUUUAAAAAUUCAGCAAGUUGGAGAGGACAGCAACAACACUAUAUGGCCUGUUUUAAACAUGUAUUGUUUCCUCAUCUAACCUGCGUUUGUCGUUCCUUAAGCUGAACUCCAAAAAAAGGCUUGUAAUUAAUAACUGUUUGAAAAACUGUAGUUGUGCAUAGCUCCGUUUAUUCUUCCCCAAGGAAAACAGUCUCCAAUGCCUGUCUCCUUUGGCAGAGGUCAUGAAUCUUGCCUUUGUUUUACGAUGGCCAAGAGUACAGUUUACAUAAAAGACAAUUUGGGAUAGAGGGGGACAUAACUCUGGACAACUUCUUCUUAUCUUUAAACAGGAGUUAAAUAAAAAGCCUCAAUAGCAA